UUUAAUGGCCGCAGUAUACUAACUGUGCAAAGGUAGCAUAAUAAUUAGUCUUUUAAUUGAAGGCUGGUAUGAAUGGUUGGACGAGAUAUUAACUGUUUCAAUAAAAUUUAUAAUAAAAUUUUAUUUUUUAGUUAAAAAGCUAAAAUAAAUUUAAAAGACGAGAAGACCCUAUAAAUCUUUAUAUUUAAGAUAUUAUAAUUUUAUAGAAAAUUUUUAUUAUAAUAUUUGAUACUAUUUUAUUGGGGUGAUAUUAAAAUUUAAUAAACUUUUAAUUUUAAAAAAUCAUUAAUUUAUGAAUUAUUGAUCUUUUAUUAAUGAUUAGGAAUACAAGUUACUUUAGGGAUAACAGCGUAAUUUUUUUGGAGAGUUCAUAUCGAUAAAAAAGAUUGCGACCUCGAUGUUGGAUUAAGAUAUAAUUUUAGGUGUAGCUGCUUAAAUUUUAAGUCUG
rnacentral:rRNA from 1 species